GGCCUCCCAAACUGAAAGUAGACAGAUUUGCUAUACAAGCUGACAAAUAGUUCCCAAUUGUGGUAAGGUCUGUGUAGAUAAUAUGCAUAAAUGAACAGUAAGAAAUAUGGUUUCAUCUUAUUUUAAAGCAUAUGUUUUAAGGAUAAUAAUCAUUAUGUUUUUUUUUCAAUUUUCCUGGCUAGUUUUGUCUUUUUGAUUAAGCGAGUGUAUUUGAUUGACAACAAUCAUGAUCGAAGAACAAUUAAACUAGCCCAUCAUUUUUGUCUUUAAAUGUCCGGUUCCAAGUCAGGAAAAUGCAGUUGUUAUCAAAUAGUUCGUUUCUAUGUAUAUUGGCGUUGGUUUUUGUGGCACGCCAGUGUUCCUGUUCCCUUUUUUUCCUAAUUGAUAUGUUUCCCUCGGUUUUAGUUUGUAACCCAUAUGUAUUUCCUCUAAAUCGAUUUAUGACUUUUGCUCACCGA
rnacentral:lncRNA from 1 species